GACGAACGCUGGCGGCGGGCUUAACACAUGCAAGUCGAACGGAAAGGCCCUGCUUUUUUGGGGUGCUCGAGUUGCGAACGGGUGAGUAACACGUGAGUAACCUGCCCUUGACUUUGGGAUAACUUCAGGAAACUUGGGCUAAUACCGGAUAGGAGCUCCUGCUGCAUGGUGGGGGUUGGAAAGUUUCGGCGGUUGGGGAUGUACUCGCGGCUUAUCAGCUUGUUGGUGGGGUAGUGGCUUACCACGGCUUUGACGGGUAGCCGGCCUGAGAGGGUGACCGGCCACAUUGGGACUGAGAUACGGCACAGACUCCUCCGGGAGGCAGCAGUGGGGAAUAUUGCACAAUGGGCGGAAGCCUGAUGCAGCAACGCCGCGUGCGGGAUGACGGCAUUCGGGUUGUAAACCGCUUUCGCCUGUGACGAAGCGUGAGUGGCGGUAAUGGGUAAAGAAGCACCGGCUAACUACGUG
rnacentral:rRNA from 1 species